rnacentral:lncRNA from 1 species
UUUUGUUCUCCCAUUUUCAAAAAGUCCAAGAACUCUCAAAUCCCAUGUGUGGUUGUCAAGAUAUGAUCAAUUCAAUUUCAUAAAUUUGUGAACUUCAAAGAGCCAUAUCUCAUGAACCAUAAGGCCACAUUUGGUGGGGUUUUUUCCUACAAACCACAUUUUUCCUCCUCUUUCCAAAAAUAUAAAUUUCAUGAACCAA